rnacentral:rRNA from 1 species
AUAUAGCAUUCAAAGAUAGAAAUUAAUCUAAAUUACUAAUCAAAACAUUAUUAAACUUAGUAAAGGUGAUUGAAAUUUUAUUUAUUUCUUUUUGAAAAGUACUGUAGAGGAAUAAGUAACUAAUAAAAAUAAAAAAGAAACUAAACUUCGUACCUUUUGCAUCAUGGCUUAACUAGAUUUAACUGAAUAUACAGAUUCUCGAAAUUUAAUGAGCUAUUUUUGACCUUUAUAUUAGGAAUAAGAGACUAAUUGUAGCAAAAAUUUUCUCAGAGUCAAAAAUAGAAAUGAAAUUUUAUUCGCAUUAAAUGAUAGCUAGUUUUUCCUAAAAGAUAUAGAAGUAUUUAAGGAUUAAUCUAUUUAUUAGUAAUUUUUUUACUAAUAAAAUUUAAUCUAAGCAUGCUUUUAAGGAUAAGCUUAAAAGCCUCAAUAAAAUAUUUGUUCUUAAUUAAAAUUUAAAUUUAAGCUUGAAAAUAGCUAAGAUUAUUGAUUUUGUUAUAAUUCAUUUUAUCUUUAAAAUAAUAAUUAAUUUACUAUAACACAAAAGGAAGAAUUCUUAAUAAUUAAAAUGAGUUGUAUACAUGUUAAGAUGAGUAUUAAUUAGUUAUGAUUAUUUAAGAAUGAUAUGUCUUAAAAUAAUAUUUUAAUAUUUUAUAAAUAAAAUUAUAAAAAGGAACUCGGCAAAACUAUAUUCUACCUGUUUAUUAAAAACAUGGCUCCUUGAAGAUAAGAUAAUAGGGAGUCAGGCCUGCCCAGUGAAGUUUUUUAACGGCCGCGGUACCCUGACCGUGCAAAGGUAGCAUAAUCAUUUGCCUUAUAAUUGAAGGCUGGUAUGAAUGGUUUGAUAAGAAUAUAACUGUCUCUUUAUAAUUUAAUAGAAUUUUAUUUCAAGGUGAAGAAGCCUUGGUGUAAUUAAAAGACAAGAAGACCCUAUCGAGCUUUAAAUAACUUAAUAGAAGUGAUAUAUUAAUGAGCUAUGAAGUUCAGCUAUUAAAAAUUUUGGUUGGGGCGACUGAGGAACAAAAAAAGCUUCCUUUAAGUAUUAUAUCACGUACAAGUAUUGAUCCAAAAUUUUUGAUUAAAGAAAUUAGUUACCGUAGGGAUAACAGCAUUAUCUUUUUUAAGAGUUCUUAUUGAAAAAAAGGUUUGUGACCUCGAUGUUGGACCAGAAUAUCCUGAAGAUGCAGAAGUCUUCAAGGGUUGGUCUGUUCGACCAUUAAAAUUCUACGUGAUCUGAGUUUAGACCGGCGUGAGCCAGGUCAGUUUCUAUCUUUAAUUUUUUAAUAUGAGCUUAGUACGAAAGGACCAGCUUAUUGCAAGACCUAGUGUUCUAAGUGAAGAAAUAUAAUUUAUGUAAUUAAAAUAAUA